GUCUGCUUGAAGGAUAAGAAGUCUAACCUGCCCACUGAUUGUUAAAGGGCUGCGGUAAUUUGACCGUGCGAAGGUAGCAUAAUAAUUAGUCUUUUAAUUGAAGGCUUGAAUGAACGGUUGGACAGUAGAGAAGCUGUCUCUUUUGUUUUACUUAAAUUUGACUUUUAUGUGAAAAGGCAUAAAUAUUUUAAGGGGACGAUAAGACCCUAUAAAAUUUCAUAUAGGAUAAUAUAAUCUGGAAAUUAAUAAACUAGAUUAUAAUAUAAAUAUUUUACUGGGGCGGUAGAGAUAUAAUUUUAUGUAACUGUUUAUGAAUUUAAAUGUUAGUGAGUAGAUAUUGAUCCAUUAGAUGAUGAUUUGAAGAUUAAAUUACUUUAGGGAUAACAGCGUUAUUUUUUUUGAGAGUUCUUAUCGACAAAAUUAGUUGCGACCUCGAUGUUGAAUUAAGGUAACUUUUAGGUGCAGGCGCUUAGAGAGUAGGUCUGUUCGACCUUUUAUUCCUUACAUGAUUUGAGUUCAGACCGGUGUGAG
rnacentral:rRNA from 1 species